UCUGGGUCGCAUGNCUGAUCNCCGUGGUUGNCUUCGCAUUUCGAGUGUCUGUACUCCGUGUGCAGUGCUCGUGGUGUUGUUGGCCCGGUGUUUUGGUCGUGCAACCUNUCUNCCGUGUCUGUGUCUUCUUCGGGAGCGCAGGUGUUGGUUAGCCGGUUCCUACAAGGUCCGGUUGGUUGGCAUGCUUUCAGGUGCGCUUCAUUGCGUGCUUGNAGCGGGCGGCAAUUUUACUUUGAACACCUUUGAGUGCUCAAAGCAGGCCGUAGAGCCUGAAAAGUCUUGCAUGGAAUAAUGAAAUAGGACUUCGGUUCUAUUUAGUUGGUUUUCGGAUCCGAAGUAAU
rnacentral:rRNA from 1 species